rnacentral:snRNA from 1 species
GGGUGAUCUGGCUUCAACAUCUACCACCCAUUGAUCACCAGGGUUGAUUCAGCUGAUGUCUGGCUAUACAGGUGUCCCUUUCCUCCAGUGUUCCAUGUGUAACCCUCCUGAAGUUGAAAACUUGGUUGGAGAGGAUGACCUUCCCUGAUAGAAGAGGACCAUUCUUUAAUCAAGGGUGUUCAAGUAGCUCUCUAAGCUCUCAAGGUAAAGGUCUCACCUGCACUGU